UACAAGGUUCCGUAGGUGAACCUGCGGAAGGAUCAUUA
rnacentral:rRNA from 1 species